CAUUCUCACUUCGAUUCUAAUCCACAAAGGCACAUAUUUUUCUAAAAAUUUUCAUUAUUCUUGUUUUGAAAAAAACCAAAAAAGAGGAAAAUUCUUGAAUUAUUCAAGCGCAAAAAAACGAUGGAGAACAUUAAGAGUAGCGAUGCCCGUGGAUCUGGUUCGCUGAAGAGGAAACAUAGUGCAGACGAUUGUUCCAUAGCUGCCAAAAAACGGAAGACUUGCCCCAAUAAUGUGCGUCCGUUUAAGUUCCAAUUCGCGCAAUCCCGGCUCCAGUGCGAUAGCAAUGCUGCCGUUCGUAACCCCAAUAUGCAUCGUAUUUAGCCACUGAAGCGUUUACCGUACCUGGCAAACUUUAAGCAACAAAUAUAAUUGUUUUUCAAAUUGAUGGACGUGAGUGAACGUUAAAACACAUUCAACUUUUAAUUGGAAUAUACUGUUCAACCAUCCCAAUCUGCUAUGUAUAAUCUUUUGCGCGAAUAAUUGUAAGAGGCAAAA